rnacentral:rRNA from 1 species
UAGGGAAUCUUCCGCAAUGGACGAAAGUCUGACGGAGCAACGCCGCGUGAGUGAAGAAGGAUUUCGGUUCGUAAAACUCUGUUGUUAGGGAAGAAAAAAUGUAUAGUAACUAUAUACAAAAGAGACGGUACCUAACCAGAAAGCCACGGCUAACUACGUGCCAGCAGCCGCGGUAAUACGUAGGUGGCAAGCGUUGUCCGGAAUUAUUGGGCGUAAAGCGCGCGCAGGUGGUUUAGAAAGUCUGAUGUGAAAGCCCACGGCUCAACCGUGGAGGGUCAUUGGAAACUAAUAAACUUGAGUGCAGGAGAGAAAAGUGGAAUUCCUAGGGUAGCGGUGAAAUGCGUAGAGAUUAGGAGGAACACCGGUGGCGAAAGCGGCUUUGUGGCCUGCAACUGACACUGAGGCGCGAAAGCGUGGGGAGCAAACAGG